UACGUAGGGGGCAAGCGUUAUCCAGAUUUACUGGGCGUAAAGCGCGUGUAGGCGGCUGGUUAGGUGUGAUGUGAAAUCUUCGGGCUCAACCCGAAAACUGCAUUGCAAACCGGCCUGGCUAGAGUGCAGGAGAGGGAAGCGGAAUUCCAGGUGUAGCGGUGAAAUGCGUAGAUAUCUGGAGGAACACCAGAGGCGAAGGCGACCACCUGGCCGAUGACUGACGCUGAGGAACGAAAGCGUGGGGAGCAAACAGG
rnacentral:rRNA from 1 species